AUGCACACACACAGACACACCUGCACACACACACACACACACACACACACACACACAUGCACACACACAGACACACCUGCACACACACACACACACACACACGUGCAGACAUACACAGACACACACGUGCGCGCACACACACACACAUGCAUACACACACGCGCACACACACACGUGCACACACACACACACACAACGCACAUGCUCACACGCACACACACACACACACACACACGUGCACACACACACGUGUGCUCACACACACACACACACACACAAAGACACAUGUGCACACACGUGCACACACACACAUGCACGCAUACACACACAUGCAUACACACACACCUGCACACACAUGUGCACACACACACGCAUGUGCUCACACGCGCACACACACAUGCAUACACACACACCUGCACACACAUGUGCACACACACACGCAUGUGCUCACACGCACACACACACACGUGCAUACAUAAACGUGCACACACACACACACGCACGUGCUCACACGCACACACACACACACACGUGCACACACACACACACACAAGUGCAUACACACACGUGCACACACACGUGCACACACACACGCGUGCUCACACACACACAAACACACAUGUGCACACACACACAUGCACGCACACACACACAUGCAUACACACACACCUGCACACACACGUGCACACACACACACACACGCAUGUGCUCACACGCACACGUGCAUACACACACGUGCACACACACACACACACACACGCACAUGCUCACACGCACACACACACAUGUGCAUACACACACGUGCACACACACACACAAGUGCAUACACACACGUGCACACACACACACAUGCUCACACACACACACGCACACAAACACACAUGUGCAGACACACGCUUGUAUGAUCUGGUUCCUUGGCCAGAGGAAUGGGAGGAGGACAUUUUUAGGGAGGCACGCAGCUGUCAGCUGUAUGGUUUCGUUUUGGCUCGUGAGUGGCCGAGUGAGCUGGAGGCGUGGCCAGAACUCGGCUGCUGUCCAGUGCGGCACGUAAUACGGGCCGGGCGACGUCACUGGGCUCCUACAGCCAACAGCUGUUUUAACAUGAAGAGGCAGAAUAGCGAUGGAUGA
rnacentral:lncRNA from 1 species